rnacentral:rRNA from 1 species
AUUGAACGCUGACGGCAGGCUUAACACAUGCAAGUCGAGCGGGGAGAUGUAGCUUGCUACAUUACCUAGCGGCGGACGGGUGAGUAAUGCUUAGGAAUCUGCCUAUUAGUGGGGGACAACAUUCCGAAAGGAAUGCUAAUACCGCAUACGCCCUACGGGGGAAAGCAGGGGAUCUUCGGACCUUGCGCUAAUAGAUGAGCCUAAGUCAGAUUAGCUAGUUGGUGGGGUAAAGGCCUACCAAGGCGACGAUCUGUAGCGGGUCUGAGAGGAUGAUCCGCCACACUGGGACUGAGACACGGCCCAGACUCCUACGGGAGGCAGCAGUGGGGAAUAUUGGACAAUGGGCGAAAGCCUGAUCCAGCCAUGCCGCGUGUGUGAAGAAGGCCUUUUGGUUGUAAAGCACUUUAAGCGAGGAGGAGGCUACUUGGAUUAAUACUCUAGGAUAGUGGACGUUACUCGCAGAAUAAGCACCGGCUAACUCUGUGCCAGCCGCCGCCGUAA